ACGACCUUACUUGAACAGGAUCUGUUCUACAGGCUCUUUCCAGUGUCCUUGAGUUCCAAGGAGACAGGAAACCAAAUCUGGACGAUGAAUCAUGACCGUGUGAUCAGAGCGUGAUUAACGGCUUGAUGUUCCCUCGGAUCAUCGUGGCAGUAGAGGAUCCAUCUCUGUCAAACUUCUGCUGGCUGGGAUGGUCACAAAGGUUAUCUGACAGGUU